UUCUCUUGACAAGUUGCCCUAGUGUGAGGGUGAGAAAGGACCUAACUGUUGUUCCAUUGACUGCCUAGGAGGAGUGAUGAGAGCCUGCUGGAACAUGAGGAUUUCAAGAUCUCUAGAGGAUGAAGAAACUGAGCCCAGAGAGGUUACAGAACUUGCCAGAGGUCACCUAGCUAAUGCCGGCACUAGAUCUGGAUGCAGCUGUGAACAGUAACCCAGUUUCUCCAACAGUGUGAAGAGCCUGGCAGCUGGGAUGGUACCAUCGCCCUUCGUGCUUCUAUCCAGAAGCAUCUGAAAUGGCUAAUCAAUGGCUAUGCUCCUAUAAGGCCCAUACCUGCCUCCUCUAUGUGAAGUUUGCCAGUCAUGUGAAUUUAAAAACAAAACUCAACGAUGUUUUAAGUGCAGUCCUACAUGAGUAACUGUUUUCUAACUCUAUAUUCAGUCUAUAUCCACUGGAGAAAUGUAGCCCAGUGUUCUAGCCUGUCAAGGUCUUCUUGGAUCCUGAUUCUAUCAUGCGAAUGUU